GACGAACGCUGGCGGCGUGCUUAACACAUGCAAGUCGAACGGAAAGGCCCUGCUUUUGUGGGGUGCUCGAGUGGCGAACGGGUGAGUAACACGUGAGUAACCUGCCCUUGACUUUGGGAUAACUUCAGGAAACUGGGGCUAAUACCGGAUAGGAGCUCCUGCUGCAUGGUGGGGGUUGGAAAGUUUCGGCGGUUGGGGAUGGACUCGCGGCUUAUCAGCUUGUUGGUGGGGUAGUGGCUUACCAAGGCUUUGACGGGUAGCCGGCCUGAGAGGGUGACCGGCCACAGUGGGACUGAGAUACGGCCCAGAGUCCUACGGGAGGCAGCAGGGGGGAAUAUUGCACAAUGGGCGGAAGCCUGAUGCAGCAACGCCGCGUGCGGGAUGACGGCCUUCGGGUUGUAAACCGCUUUCGCCUGUGACGAAGCGUGAGUGACGGUAAUGGGUAAAGAAGCACCGGCUAACUACGUG
rnacentral:rRNA from 1 species